rnacentral:piRNA from 1 species
UACUCGCCUUGGGCUGUAGAGCAGAGU